rnacentral:lncRNA from 1 species
UCAAAGUUCCUUUUGUAGCUUCGAUUAGCAAAGUUCAACUGGCAGAAGAACUGAAAUAGAGAAGAAAAAUGUGAUGAAGUGUUAAGUGCUUGGUUCUUAGUUGUUUGUGCAUUUGAUACUUGUCCAUCUGUUUUCUAUGUUCUCUGUUCAAAUUAAACAGAAGGUGGUGCAUGCUGAAGUGUCAAAUUAUUAUGCUUGCACUAUUGUAGACAGCUUGAUGUCACAUGUGUUGGUUCAUCUUUAAAGUAGCAACCAUACUGAGUGGAUCGUGUGCUGCUUCUAUUAAGGUUUUUCUAUCUAUUAACAAAAGGUACUUGCUUGUUUGUCUGAGAUCUUUUUGGGGGAUAUAGAAAGGGAACUAAACAUGCAUCUUAAUACUGGAAUGGUUAGUGGGGUAUCUAUUAAUCAUCAAAGUUUCAGCAUGCAUCACAUGGUACACUAACUGGAACAGGAUUCAUCACUAAACUGAAACAGGAUUCAUCACAAAACAAUGUAUUGCCUAUCUAUUUGUUCAGAACUGAAUCUAAUAACUUACAAGGAAGUGAAACAUGAUGUGAUUGAAAGAACAAACUGAAACAGGAUUCAUCACUGAUAGCAAUAACUGAAACAGGAUUCAUCACUAAACUGAAACAGGAUUCAUGUUUCACUAAACAUAGAACAGGAUUCAUCCCCCUGAGUACUAAAGCAUGGCAGCAGCACCAGCCACCAGAACUGAACUUGUAAUGACAAAAAGGAACUAACAACACAAACCCAGCAAAAAACAAUGCAAAAGGUCGAAAGCUUCUCCCAUUUGCCAACUAUUUUGAUAUGGCGAGUUGGCGACCCACUAUUAGUUUUCCCAGCAUUUAUACACCCACAGUUUCCUGCAUCACCAGUCUACUUUUAUACUAUUUCCAUACAAAUAGCUCGUAGAGGGGUGUGCUAAAGUCAUAAUCAUUUCAUGCAUAUGGAGUGGGUGUUCUGAUAUGCUUAUCUAGUUGUGCAGUCACGACCAUUUGGAGUGUCUCUCCUAAUUGCUGGACAUGAUGAGAAUGGACCUAGCUUGUUAGUUUUGAUCCAUUUAGAUCACUGGACUGGAUUUUCUUAACUGUUCUGUUUAGAAUCCAUAUUUUUCUUAAACAGAGGAGUUUUUUCUUAUUCAAAUAAAUCCCUAUAAUGCAAUGAAAUUGCUUUUUGUUGGUUUUUUAGAGCUUAGGCUGUCAUGGUAAGGUGGGUUGCUAUUUUCUUCAAAAAAAUCAUUGUACUGUAAUGCAUUUUUAUUUGUUUUUAUUGGAUCUUUUUAGAUUGCCAUGCUAAACGCUAAUUUGUAGCGGAUAUCCUUUUGCUGCCGGCAAGUCGUCAAAAACCAUUUCCAAAAAUCAUAAACCAUUUCCAAAAAUCAUAAGCCAUUUCCAAAACUGAACAAUCAAGGACCCACAAAAGCACCCGGCGAUUUUGUAGACAAACAAAACUGAGCAGUUGUCACAACACAACCAAAUUAUCGGGCCCACUUACACCAAUCUUUGCCCUUAAGGCCUUACAUGGUUAUGUAAGUGUACCAGAUAACUUACUCGGGGUGCCGAGUUUCGAUUAACUCGUUCAUUCCCAAAGAUCAUUCAUCCGUGAUUGAGAACAUUACAAUAAUCAUACAUCUUGAAACAUGAACAUAAACAUAGACAUAGGAGUUUGAGCGGAAGACUUUACAAUAAGAUAAUAAACAUUAGUAGACUUUUAAUUUUACAAAACCAAGUGGUUAUUAUUAUUACAUGCCCGAGGUAGAGUCAAAGUGCUAACUUAUUACAUCACAUGAGAAGAUCUCAGCUUCCCACAAGCACACACAAGUUAGGCAUAAGUAAAUAAGUCUCCAUAAGUGAGCCUAACAGAAAUCAAACUUAUCAAGAACUUCACCUGCAACAACAUAGGGAAUAAAACCCUGAGUAUGGAAUUACUCAGCAAGACUGACCCGACUAAACAAAAGACUCUCAAGGGUAUGCUAGUUGAUUUGGAAAUCAAGGUAAAGGCUAUCAAUGUUCAAAGACUCAAGUUUUGCAUAAAAGCUUACUAAUACUUGGUCCUUAGGCCAUCUUUUACUUUUCAAGUUAAGUUCUUACCUUUAUCUAGAUUGGCCUAUUCUAGCUCAGUCACUUGGCCUAAUCUAGUUUUCUUUUAAAAUCAAAUCUUGUUUUACUUGUUAUCUACGAUGAUGGUCAGUGAUCUAGUCUCCAUAUCCGAGAAGUAAUGGCGAUUCGAAUCGAUUAGUACCCAGCUGAGGAUCUCCAACCACACGACAUAUGUAGCACUUAACCCUUGCAUAUGUCAACUCGCACCCGGGUUUCUCAAGACCAGAACGGGUCCCCGCCACCUGAGAGCUCAGUACCCCACCGUCCAACCUCUUGCCAGGUGGGUACACGAUACUCUCGCCAUCUCUCCACUCCUAGUGCGGGCCGGCCUUUCUGGUAUUGGUCCAGCCGAAGCUAAGCUUACCCAUGAUGAGGCAUGUGGCCAGUUAAAAGGUCCUAGAUCAUGUAGGCCAAUAAUCGUUACGGUCCUUAAACGACAUAGACGGACGACCUUUCCUGCUCAACGUCUGGUCUCAUUUUAAACUAUUUCUCAGAAACUUGUACUUGUCAGAGGUAAUCCGCUGGAAUGAUGAAUUCAUCAAGGCCUUUGACGCCUUCAUCAUUCCCAGCCUUUUUCUUUUGUAAAAACAUGAUUCAUAAAUCAAAAACAUUUUGUUCCUAAUCUAUAAGCAUACUAAGCAUUUCUAGCUUUGAAAAACAGGUAUCAAGGAUGAUAAUCAAUAUUCCAAGGAAUGGGAAUGCAUCAAAUGUUUAUUCACACAACUCCUACCACCUAAUGCAGCAUAUAAGUGAUAAAAGUUUUUAAAACACAAGGAAAGGGUUAAAUGCACCGGGGCUUGCCUUGAUGAGGAGGAGUGUCAGGCUCUUCCACAAGAAUAUCACAAUUAACCGGGUAACCUACUAGAGUACCUUCAGGAGGAACUGCAGCUGGAGAAGUUUCUGAUUGAGGAACUGAUUCCUCUCCCACUUCCACUUCAACCUCUUCUUCUAGGUGUUCUACAAGUCAAUUACAAGUACAUGAAUGCUUAUGUAAUGAUAUGCAAUGUAAACUCUCACAAGGGAGAGGUGGGAAAACAUAAACACUUGUAAAACAACCACAUGACCAGUUUAUACAUGUUGCUACAUAACUAAACAUUUGAUAAAGGGACCAAACUGAAUUUGUUUGUACAAACCCGAGAAACAAUUAUUCUAAAGUCUCCUAAACUUGCUACUCAUUAAUUUAUAUAAUUAAGUCUCCUUCUAAACAUAUAUUAGAAAUUGAUUUCAUGGAUUUAAAUAACUCUAUUUAGCUAUUCAAAGGUUUUCUGGUCAAACUAGCUCCAAAUAAGCUCAAACUUUUACCAAGAGCUAAUAUAGUGCUAAAUAGUUUUUCCACAAAUUUUCAUCAUUUUGGUGCUCUAGUUUUAAUUCUAAAAUUCAUUAAAGCCUUCUAAGGACACUUUUAAAUGACCUAUAAUUUAUUCUUUAUUUCAAAAAUAUUAAAAAUGAUUCUAACAGAGACUAUACAAUUUUUCGGACUUUAAAAAAUUAGUUUGGUAUUUUUUGCAUUUUUAUAAAUUUUCUGGUGAAUUUUACAAGCUGCCAGUAAAAAGAAAAAGAAAAGUUAUAUACAGUUCUGGGCCGAAUCGACGAACCUGGCCCACGAGUACAGGGAAAACCAGCCCAGCGCCGGUCACCCGCGCCCGCGCGCGCGGUUUUUCAUUCCGACCCCCGCUCAACUAAACAAUAAACUAAGAGUCUCGCGCACUAUUUCUAACAGUAGCUGACAAUAUCACCCCGACCCCUGGGUUUUGGUGCUUUUACAUUUUCUCAGACCCGAGCCUCCUCCGACGAGCCGCGGCCAACCAUCGCACGGACCCGCCGGCGGCGGCCAUCUCCGGCGAAGUCGAGCCCACCAUCGUGCUUCCCGAAGUUAACACACUACUUCCCCUAAGUUAAUCGGUCUCAAACAACCUAGAACUGCCCUGGCCACGACAACAGCGGAGAAACGAACUCCGACGAGGUCGGCCGAGGUCCCUAAUGCGGUAGCGUUCGAUUCCAGGAUGCUAUGAGCAUCAGUAACAUAUCUAAUACAUGGUGCUCACGUUGGUUUGCGCGGAGAAAGGAUGGCUUGGCCGGUCGACGUGAAGCUCAAUCACGGUGGCGUUCACUAGUGGCGUGGCGGCAUUCCAGGCGAUCUACAGUGGUAGCAUUCAAAACAACGGCUCGGUGAGCAUCACUGACAUACUAGGAUCACAAAACAUCAACUGAUCGAGCGUGCCUUACCACAGGAUGGACUGGCCACGGUGAGAUGGACAGUCGGCUUGCGUGGUCACCACUGUCUGUGUUCACCACACGCUCAUGGUGUUCCAGUGGAAUCCAAGGAUUGGGAUAGGUUGAGGGUGUGAUAUAUGUGUAGUAGAACAGCAGAGCAUGAUGGAACAACUAUGAAGUCGACCAGGGACAGUGGAGUUCAGUUUGUGACUUUAGAAUGGUUAGGGCAAACCAACCAAGGGCUGAGACUUCUAGGGUCUUUACUGGCUUUAACACAUGGCCAACAAGGGCUAGAGUGUUCCCCUCACCUCCAGCAAGGUUACCAGGCAUGGGCAAGGCACAGGGAAAGAACAGGUGUGGCCACAGCCCUAGGACAGCAACACAAAAACAGUAAAUAGAAUAGUUCACUAAUAAAUGAAUUUGCCACCUAUUCAACUCACUUCUAGACAUUUUGAACUUGUGGCAUGUACCCUCCCUUCUACAACAUGCCAGCACCAAGCCCCCCCCUUGGGUGUCAAACACUAGAAGCAACGAAAGAAUUUAUUUGCAACUGUUUGAACUGCACUGAUCUUCAUCAGGCUGAAAGCAGUCCAACCUUUCUCCCCUCUUUUCUCCAGUUUCCAAAAUAAUGACAAGCCAACUUCACUACAUCAAAGUGACUCACCACACAUAGCUCUUCCAUGUUACUAAAGCAUACCCAGGCCAAAAAUGUAUAGAACCAAAGUUAUCGUGCCCAAAAGUUGAGCAAAAUUUCACUGAACCAAAAGUUCAGUUAUCUGAAUCAAGCUCAAGUUUCACAGCCCGACAGGGUACUUUUGAGGACAUUUUACUCUCUAUUUUGUGUAGAACUAAACCUUACACACCACAGCAAUUUUGUUCUCCUUCAUAUGGUCUACCAACUUCCUAUAAACAUUUUAGUCCAAAACAUUAUGGAUCUGUCAUAAUAAAGUUCCAAAGUUGAGAUAAACUCACAAUUUCAGCCUCUGGUUUUUCACUCUGGAAUUCCAGAUCAAACAUAGGAUCUUUGGACCACUUUUGCUACCAGUUCCAAAUGUCUUUAGGGGUAGGGUUUUUAAUCAAAGUUGUACACCAGUAUGUGGUCUACCACUUUGGUGCAGCACUCUUGGUCCAUAACUAUAUGUAUCAGCCACUAAUAGGCUUCCAAAAUUGCUUCAGGUUGUAAAAACUGCAAAACUGAAUUUUUCCGAGCCUGAGAUUUCAGAACUUAACAUUCCAUCUUUGAGCAAAAUUUUCAACUAGUUCCAUAUGGUUUUAGGGCUAAGUGAUUUAAUCAAGUUUGUACACUUAUGUUAGCUCUACAACUUUGUUAAAAUGGCCAUCUUCAAACUGACCAUAGAUCAAAAGUUACUAAGGCCCAAAGAUAGCUAAUUGCUAAUAUUUUUCAGAAAUCAAAACCCUAAUUCAAAACUUAGUUUUAAGUUUUACUCUAUUUUUUUCUAUAAAAUUUGAAAAACCUCCACACAUAAAAGUUGUUGGGCUUGGAAAACUCUAUAACUUUGGUAUUUUGACUUUUGGCAAAACAUUGCCAGAUCAUAAGUUUUACUUUUGGGGUCAAAACUGGAGCUUUUCAAAACGGGGUUUUCUAUUCUCUGCUAAACACAACAUUACACUUAGAGUUUCUUGUUCCUAGUGAAUGCAUUCUAAGUAUAUUACAACACAAAGAUGUCAAUGCAUAUGAUGCCAUGCCAAAUUUUAGUUCUGGUAACACCAGGGGUGUUACAGCAGUCAAGAGGCCACAAAACCCCAAAACGCGCACUACCUGUCUCGGUCUCUCUAUAACACACGUCAUAGAACACGACUCUACACAAAUUUUGACAGUGAUUGAAAGAAGUUUAGGCAAAAUCAUGUUGUACCAGAAUACCAGCAUUUGAAGAGGACUCACUGGCGUCGAAGCGGUUGAAGAGGAAGGUGAUCGUCACGAGCAGCGAACAGAACACGAGCGCCGAGGCUGAUGGGGGAUGGGGUGGCGCCCUCGACUUGGACGUGUUCUUUAAUAGCAGUUGAUGUCAUCGAGGGCGCCGAGGAUGGUUCCCAUUCUCUGGCCGUCGAUGGAAGGUGGGAAUCGGCGAUGGAAGGUGGGAAUCGACGAUGGAUGGUGAUUGCGGUCUCGAUUUGGAUUUCCAUGUUCGAUGGAAUGGCACGGAUGGAGGAGAUUGCGUCCGCGUGGAUGGAGGAGAUUGGAGGCACGCGGAUUGCGAGCUGGGGGAUAACGAUGGUGGGGUUUGCGGCUGCGGUGCGGGAUGCGGGCGGGUGGAGGGGGAGGCUGGUGGAGCCGUCGGCGAGGCGGGGGGAGCGGGGGCAGCGGAGUCGGGGGCGUGGGGGAGCGGAGGGAACGACGCCGAAGCGUGGGCGCGGGGCGGGCCCAGAUGGCAGCGCGGGUGGUGAGACAGGGCUUAGCCGCGGUAUCGCGGGUGCCCACGUUACACGUUUAAUUAGUAGUAGGGAUGUAGUAGUAUGACCUGAUUCAUGACGGCUUGCAGCUUUCCCAUCCUCAAUAGAUGCGUACAAAAUUUAGUUUGAAUAUCUACUUGUUAACACGAAUUUGCGACAAAGGGGCCAGUAGACUGUAAAAUACAUUUUACAUUAGAUUCUUCGAGUAUACAAGAAACAAGAAGCAGACCAUGUCCUAAAUCAUACUCCCUCCGUCCCAAAAUAGUAUUCGUUUUAGCUCUAGAUUUUUAUGUCUAUAUUCAACUAGAUGGUGAUGAAUCUAGACACAUAUAUAGAGCACAUACAUAAAGUAUUGUAUGAACCUAUUAAUUAUUUAAAACGAAUUUUAAUUUGUGACGAAGGGAGUAGUAAACAAAUGACAACUCUUGUUUAAGUUCUGCAAGACUAGCCUCAGUGACUUGUGAAUAAUGACACAACUCACAAUUCCAAGCCCGACCAGGGUUUCAAUGGACCAUCCAGGGUUUCAACGGCUCUCUCGGAUUCUUCAACGGUCGGCUGUCGUGAUGCAGCCACAUUCAGUAUGUGAACACAGAGGCUGAUUUUUUCUUCACAUGACAGAUAUACCUAGAAUAGUUGGCAAAGCACAUUCACAACAACAAAAUUCUAAAAAGAUAUCCAUCUGGUGACAUCUAACUUGUCCUGAGAAGCAUUUUCAUUCAAUAUAAUUCCCAAGUGUCCACUACCCAUGUUCUCAAGAUGUAACAAACAGAAAAUAUCAUAGCACUCCAUCAUUUGUCACUCCCAAACUUGCAAAGUGAAAAACAUUAGGUAUGCAAACUUACUAACCUGGUGCCGCGCCGCUGGGCUGGUCUCCGCCAUUUGUGCGGCUGGGGCUUGUCCCAGUGCAAACUUACUGAACAGUAGGUAUGCAAAGUUACUCGACCAUUUGUGUGGCUCGGGCUGGUAAAGAAUAGGAACUGAAAUAAAUUGUAGUGAUGUAAGAGAAUGGUCACCGAACAAACUAAAAACAUGCCUUGUGUUUAACUUAAGGAAGUAGUUGUUCUGCAAAAUACUGAAUGAGUUAAAUUGCAUAAACAAAAUAGUAGAUAGUGUUGCUAGAUCCAACUAAAAUAAGGUAUUUUAACUUGUGCAUUUGGUACUGGUGUGCUAGUGUAAACAACCAAAUUUCUGAGGACUUCGUAGCUCAACAUAGAAAAUGUACUUCAACCUAUUCCACCUACUUUGGACUGUGCAAAUCAGAGGAUAUAAAGGUAUUACUGCAUAAAUCUUUGAUCCAAGAGACCCAAUAUCUGAUCUAUUUGCAAGAAACCAUUUAAACGUAUUUAAGUGCAAACUGAAUUAACAAGGAAGAAAAUAUAGACCUCAAAUGUUGUCCUGGAAAUUGUGAGGGUGUAUGAUUCCCAGAUCCAGCUCCAUUCGCAACAGAUUAGUUCCCCAUAAGUAAGAAAUAUAAAACAAGAGAAGCCAUAAAUCCAUCAAAACGCUAGCUAUCAGGUUGACUUCAAACGACGACAAGGCAAAGGAUACCGGCGGCGGCGCGAAGAAGGCGCCGCGGGGCCCAGGCGCGCUGAUGGAGCGGGAGCGCCGCGUCUGGCUGGCGCGGCCCCGGACAGCUCAGACGCACCAAGCACGUGAAAAAACCUCCUCCGCCGCCGCCGAGCGUGCAGCACUAGC